rnacentral:rRNA from 1 species
UACGAAGGGAGCUAGCGUUGUUCGGAAUCACUGGGCGUAAAGCGCACGUAGGCGGAUGUGUCAGUCAGGGGUGAAAUCCCGGAGCUCAACUUCGGAACUGCCUUUGAUACAGCACGUCUUGAGUCCGGAAGAGGCGAGUGGAAUUCCUGGUGUAGCGGUGAAAUGCGCAGAUAUCAGGAAGAACACCCGUGGCGAAGGCGGCUCUCUGGGACGGUACUGACGCUGAGACGCGAAAGCGUGGGGAGCGAACAGG